rnacentral:rRNA from 1 species
UACGAAGGGGGCUAGCGUUGCCCGGAAUUACUGGGCGUAAAGGGCGCGUAGGCGGCUCUGUUAGUCAGGCGUGAAAGUCCUGGGCUCAACCUGGGAACUGCGCUUGAUACGGCAGAGCUAGAGGAUGGAAGAGGGUCGCGGAAUUCCCAGUGUAGAGGUGAAAUUCGUAGAUAUUGGGAAGAACACCGGUGGCGAAGGCGGCGACCUGGGCCAUUACUGACGCUGAGGCGCGACAGCGUGGGGAGCAAACAGG